rfam:Schistosoma mansoni, Puerto Rico, WGS project CABG01000000 data, contig: 0148
GCACUGCUGAAGAGUCCCACAAUAGGACGAAACAGUUGUCUAAUGC